rnacentral:rRNA from 1 species
GACGAACGCUGGCGGCGUGCUUAACACAUGCAAGUCGAACGGAAAGGCCCUGCUUUUGUGGGGUGCUCGAGUGGCGAACGGGUGAGUAACACGUGAGUAACCUGCCCUUGACUUUGGGAUAACUUCAGGAAACUGGGGCUAAUACCGGAUAGGAGCUCCUGCUGCAUGGUGGGGGUUGGAAAGUUUCGGCGGUUGGGGAUGGACUCGCGGCUUAUCAGCUUGUUGGUGGGGUAGUGGCUUACCAAGGCUUUGACGGGUAGCCGGCCUGAGAGGGUGACCGGCCACAUUGGGCCUGAGAUGCGGCCCGGACUCCUACGGGAGGCAGCAGUGGGGAAUAUUGCACAAUGGGCGGAAGCCUGAUGCAGCAACGCCGCGUGCGGGAUGACGGCCUUCGGGUUGUAAACCGCUUUCGCCUGUGACGAAGCGUGAGUGACGGUAAUGGGUAAAGAAGCACCGGCUAACUACGUG